GAUGAACGCUGGCGGCGUGCGUAAUACAUGCAAGUCGGACGGAGUGCUAGCAAUAGUACUUAGUGGCGAACGGGUGAGUAACGCGUUGGUGACCUGCCCCGAAGAGUGGGAUAACAGUUCGAAAGGACUGCUAAUACCGCAUGAUCUCUUCUUCGUUAGAGAGGGAAGAGGAAAGGAGCAAUCCGCUUUGGGAGGGGCCUGCGUCCCAUCAGCUAGUUGGUAGGGUAAAAGCUUACCAAGGCGACGACGGGUAGGGGACCUGAGAGGGUGGCCCCCCACACUGGCACUGAAACACGGGCCAGACACCUACGGGUGGCAGCAGUAGGGAAUAUUGCACAAUGGGCGAAAGCCUGAUGCAGCAACGCCGCGUGCGCGAUGAAGGCCUUCGGGUUGUAAAGCGCUUUUCGGGGAGAUGAGGAAGGACAGUAUCCCCGGAAUAAGGCUCGGCUAACUACGUGCCAGCCGCCGCCGUAACAC
rnacentral:rRNA from 1 species